UGGAACCCCUGUUACACAAACAUUUUGAUCAGCACAUGUCCAGUUAAGAAUGUUGCGUGGUCUCUAGUGUGCAUUAUAAAUCUUUUAUACAUGACCAUCGUUCUUACCGCCGUGUUAUUCCUUUUGGGCAUUUACAUAGAACACCGUGGAUUUUUAACAACAUUCAUGAUCGCGUUUUUAGUUGGCGGUUUCAUUGCACCGAUCAUAGUGAACACCUUUCUUUUGUUUCUGAUGAUUUUCUACACGAAAACUUCUUGCUUUUACGGGGCCAACUUUGCCGUGUGUAUAUUUGCCACAUUUGUUUUUGGAUACAUCACAGCAUAUUUUCUCAGACUCGUUAAAACUUAUCGGGAUGACAUGAAUCUGGAUAUGCCAAAAUAUUUCAAAUCUAUGCAAACUCAUGGAAAGACAAGUGUAUAGAGUUACCUCUGAGGGUUACCAUGGAAACGUUCAAGAUGUCAGCUUGCUUCUCGCCCAAUCAGAGCAAUUGACCAAUCAAGAAGCGUCUGGGAGAAAUCAUAGCGUUAUGAUUGGACGACUUUUAUGACCGUCACACACGAAGCUGUAAUUAAUAGUACUUAAUAUACCGUGCUAUAAUAUAGCUAAUUAUAACUAGCUACCAUACAUGGAGAGGAAUCUGUACUAAAUAUUUUAGGGAUAGGCUUUAAAUACAGGAAAUCGUUUUUCAACCUAGUCGAUGGUCGUAUCGGUAAGGUGCCCGGUUAAAAUUCAUGAUGCGCAGAAAG
rnacentral:lncRNA from 1 species